CACGGUCAGGAAUAAAGGCGCCCAAGAGAGCAAGGAGAAGGAAAAAUAAUCAGAAUUAGCCAGCAGGCGGGCAGCGGGAAAAGGGAAAAUGCAGCCCCACCAGGGUCGGAGCCUCCGCCGGACCAGCUGAGGAGGUGGCCAAGGAGUGGGCAGGCCUGGGCAAGUGCAUGAAGGAACUUGAGCCGGCUGGAGCCCAGCAAGCAGACAGAAGGGAAGACAAUAAAAGAAGCCAUCAUCAGACAAUUCAGCUUCAGGCCACAUGGGUAAAUGUUCUCCAGCUUCAUCGGAUCCUCAAGACCCUUUCCUAGUAGCAAUAUGGGAAGAAAACCGAAGCUUUCAAAAUACAAUGUCAGCUGAAAUAUCUCAACUUCAGGGAAGCUUUCCCUGACCCCCAACCACCUCCACUCAAGACUGGAUUGUUUCCGGCAUCCUUUGCAGGUAGCUCUUGGAGUUUGUAAGGAGACUUGGGUAUGAUUUCUAGAUCAGCACGUGUCUCCCCCACUAGAGGGAGCUCUGAGAGUCCAGGGUGCAGCUGCUUUUGUUUGCUACUGUGUGGCUAGAGCUUUGUAGGGUGCCUGCCAUGAGGCAGGAGCUCCAUAAAUAUCUACUCGAGAAGGAGGAUGCAGAUUAAGCUCAUCCUCACCCACCCCCAAAAGGGGGAGCUUCUCCUGGAAAAUGGGGAAUCCUGGGGGCCCUUGGAGGAUCCAAAGAGGAUGCACCUUUAAGUAAAGGGAUGAGUCCAUCUUUAAAGGGAGGGUUUGGGCUGAGACACUGAACAAAGUGAUAGUACCCCAUCCCCACUGCUCCCUUAGCCCUAAGGAUGUUUUCUUUUGCCCACAGCUGAAAAAGCACCCCUUGUGGUAGUGGUGAAGGAGGGUGGGUUUACUCAGGAUGGAGGUGGAUAUAGCGAGACCUCCUCUGUGCUUCCCAAGGUUGCCUUAGCUUCUGAAGGCACCUGCCUAGAACUUGGCAGCCCAUCAAGGCAAAGGAUAUAGAAGGCAGAAGAGGCGGGGCAGCCUGGUUCCUGUGGGUUGGCCAGGAACAAGCUCAGCCACCAUAAGGAACAGGAACAGAGGCCCCUGAAUGCCCCCAAGAGGCUCCUCUGUAGCCUGUCUUUGGGUCCAGAGGGAGCAGCCAUGAGCCUUGGGACCCAGCACAAAGGCUCUAUCUAGGUAUCAGCAGCAACAGAUCAGCAGAAACUGCCCAGAGUAACCAAAGCAGCAUCUGCAGCCACUGCUCUUCAGAAACAGCUGACCAGGGUACCUGAGGACACAGUUCAACUCACAUUCUGGGCAACAGGGGAAGGGAUAGCCCAUGCCUCCGGGACCUGGCAGCAUCCAGCAAUAAGGGCUCCUGGGCAAAUUUUGCUGGGGACACAGGCAUAAUGUCUUUGAGGAUGAUACUACAAAGUCUCCCAUCUAGGAUGGCACAGUACAAAAGAAAUAAAGUGUAAGUUCUGUAUGUCAUUUUUAGUUUUCUGGUAGCCACAUCUUUUUAAAAGUAAAAACAGGUGAAAGUAAUGUUAAUAAUAAAUUUUAUUUAACCCAAUAUAUCCAAAAUAUUAUUGAGAUACUUAUUUUUUCAAAAUGCAGUGAGUAUUUUAAAUACAUUGACAGCAUAUGUCAGUUCUGAAUAGCUGCAUGUG
ensembl:lncRNA